CCCGCCUGUCCGGGUGCCGGGUGCUCGGCCAUGCGUGUCGGGGCGGCUGUCACACCCCAGUCCGGUCAUCCGGGUCGCCGCGCUCCCUCGCCUGUUC
rnacentral:sRNA from 1 species